UAACACCAGCCCCCCGAGUGGUGGGGAUGUUUAUUUGGCCUAAAACGUCCGUAGCCAGCUAGGUAAAUCUCUCGUUAAAUCCAGCGUCCUAAGCGUUGGGCUGCGAGAGAGACUGCCAAGCUAGAGGGUGGGAGAGGUCAGCGGUAUUUCUGGGGUAGGGGCGAAAUCCAUUGAUCCCAGGAGGACCACCAGUGGCGAAGGCUGCUGACUAGAACACGCCUGACGGUGAGGGACGAAAGCUGGGGUAGCGAAUCGGAUUAGAUACCCGAGUAGUCCCAGCCGUAAACGAUGCAGGCUAGGUGUUGGGUUGGCCACGCGCCGACUCAGUGCCACAGGGAAGCCAUUAAGCCUGCUGCCUGGGGAGUACGGUCGCAAGGCUG
rnacentral:rRNA from 1 species